CGUUCAGAGUACCGUUAAAGUACCGGAUCAAUAAGCAGUAUUGGCAAGAGUAGUAAAUAUAAGAAUCGGAACCAAAACAACUUGAUCGGGACGUCCCAAGAUUGUUUCCUCUGCGUGUGUGCGUUUUAACAGCCAAUAAGAGGAGGGAGGACCCGCUGACAAGUUGCUUACACUUGGGAAACCCGUCCCAGACAAAGGAAAAGUUGGCGAAAGGGGAAAACUGCUCUGCGGCAGCCAAGUCGAGACCAAAACCUCCUUCAGAGCAUCAAAAGACACAUGCUAGAUUUUUAAGUACCAUCCACCAUUGAACUACGAUUAACUGGCAUUUAAUUAAGAAUAAACUACCGUCAGCCAUAUUGUGAGUUAAAUG